UUACGGCCAUAUAACGUUGAAAACAACGGUCCCCGUACGAUCGCCUAAGUUAAGCAACGUCGAGCCUAAUCAGUGCUUAGUUGGGUGACCGCUUGUGAAUACCCGGUGCCA